AGUUACCAGUGCAUAAGAAUGCAUUGCAUUAAAUAGACCCGAAUAAUGAAAAGAUUCAUGUAAAAGUUACGAUAAACUACAAGGGACAUGAUCUUUUCCUCUGCGAGAUCUGGUUUUCAGCAGCAUUGCGGCAGACAGUGUGCAGUGUUGUGGAAUGGCCAUGGGCUCAUGUCGGUAAAGAGUGCUUUUGUCCUUUUCGCCAGCCACGAAAUGGAGUUCUUGGCUCCCCUUUGUAUCUGGUUGUCUUCCGUGUCUUGGCUCGUGUUGGUACUCGUAGGCUGGUUGGAGGGCAAUUCGGGUAAGUCUCCAUUGCCUUGUAGCGAUCUUUCACAAACACAUGGUUCAGAUAAAGAUUUUUCUCUUGAAAACUAGAUGUCGUUUGAAUAUUACAAUAUCCCUUGGUCAUACGUGUUCGUACUUAAGUCACUGCCAUGUAUCACAAUAACAGACAUGCUGUCACCUGCACACAGCCGUGGAGGACAGCUGGGAUGCUAACGCGGCCAUGGUGGUGAGAGACGUUCUGCUGGCGUCAUCAGAAAGCGACUCGUGUCUCGUCAUUAUUGCAGAAAACAGCUUGUUGUCUGAAAUGGAAACGUUUAUCGAGGCUUCGAGGAGCGUGGCGGUGUUUGAAUCAGUCACGAAUGGGUCGCGGCUCUCACAGAUAGUCACUCGUGCCCGCCAGGUGCGGAUAGCGUCGUGGAUGGUCGUGGUGGUGGUGGUGAGUAACGACCCAGUCUUCUUGGCUGCCUUCGCCCAACAGGCCCAUGAGGGUCGCCUGCUGGUGUGGGCCACGAAGUUCAUUGUCGUGAGCCGCCUUGCUCUGCACCGUCUCCACCCGCUCCACCAAAUUCUCGCCGUUACCAACUCCCUCUUGCUGAUGGUGCAUGGGGCGGCGGGGAUGAGCAGGUGUGUGGGUGUGUCUGUGUGGAAGCUCUGCAGUACACAGACGAGCCUCUCAUGAUCAGCAUGUAAAAGUCUGCUUCCAUGUAUGCUUGCGAACAGAGUCAAGGCCAAACUGAGCACCGCUGUUCAACUUCCAGGGCUACUGGAUGGAUGGUGCUGCCAUACCAGCGGCCUGGCGUCGGCCCGCUGCAGGUUGCAUCCUGGACGGCAGGGGACAACCUUUCAUUGCAUCGGCCUUUCUUCUGGGACAAAUUUAGCAAGCUGUCGGGAGAGACAAAUUUGGUGGUGGCGAUGGAACAGAAUCUUAGACAUACAGUAGUGGAGAAACCAGACCCGAGGACACCUGGAGGAGUAAGGGUGGAGUUCAAGGGAUUCAUGGUCACCGUUGUGAACUAUUUGGCGCAAGGACUUAACUUCUCAUACACAUUCAAACGGCCGCCAGAUGGGUCGUGGGGAGCAAAGAUACAGAAUGGCUCCUUCACUGGCAUGUUGGGCCAGGUCCACAGAGAGGAAGUGGACUUUAGCCCGGGACCUUUCGGUAACAACGCCGCUCGCUACGAGGCCGUCGAUUUCACUUGGCCGGUUUCCUUCGAGGAAGUCAAAGUCUUCGCUGGUCGAGGGAGUUCUGAGGUAGACCCGUGGGGCUUUCUGCUGCCCCUCGCCCCGUGGGUGUGGACGGCUUUGCUGUCAACUUUUCUUCUUCUCUCUGUCGCCUCAUCUUUCCUCUCCACCAGAUUUUCACAAGAAGACUUGGAUAGCAACGAAACCUUUGCUUCAAAUAUGUUAUAUUUUGUCAGCAUCGUGCUUCGUCAGUGUGAGUUACCAACAUUACGCAGCAAUAUUAUGAAUUUACAAGUUGACGCUUUGGUCUCUCUUGUUGUGGUGCAAGACAUUCUCCAAAUGUAAAUAAGUCUCGUCCAUCACAUUUAUUCUAGCAUUGCAUUAUGUUUAGAUAUGUAUCACAGUUUGCAGACGUAAUUUUCACGUCUCACACUGGAAUGAUGCAAUUAAGUCAGUGCCCACAGCUGUCUGGUAACACAUCUGUAACUCCCGGCGCUGGCAGCCGUGUGGAUGGGUGAGGGCGGGUGGUGGUGGCAACGCGUGGUGCUGGGCGUGUGGAUGCUGAUGACCAUGGUGCUGACGCGCAGCUACGAGGGCAACCUUAUGUCACUGCUGGCCGUGAGACACCUGCCCCAGCCCUACCAGACCCUCAGGGACGUGGUGGACGACCCCUCCGUGGUUAUGGUCUGGCACAAGGAAGGAGCACCCAUUCAAUCGGUUAUGGACGCUACGUCUGGGAUCUUCCACGAGGUGAAGUCGAGUGAAGAGCAAGGGCGUCUGAUGGCGUUGCCGGUAAUCAAAUAUCGCUCCAUCCUGGACGAGGUUAUAAGGCAGAAGAUAGUGAUCAUAGAUUAUGAGAGGAUAACGAGAGCUGCCAGAGGAGAACAUUUUUCUCGUACAGGUCUGUGUGACUUCUACACAGGAGAAGAGAAUAUCCAGGCCCAUUCCGUUGCCAUGAUCAGCCAGAAAGACAGUCCCCUCAUUCCACCUCUCAAUACACGGAUAAUAUCUAUGAUUGAGGCAGGACUUUAUAACUACUGGAACAAUGAAGGAAUCCCGAACUACAGUGCCUGUGAACGAGUGCCGACCAAGAUUACCAUCAGUUCGUCACUGUCCCUCAGGCAGUGCUGGGUAAGCAUCUUACUGUGAAUCAGGCAGUGCUGAGUGUGAUUCAGGCAUUGAUAGAUAGAAUUUUGCUACGUCUCAAGCAAUUCAGGCUAGCGGUCUUGAUGGGCGACCCGGGCAAAGCUGGGACCUUGUUCUGAUUCAGGCAGUGCUGGGUAAGGAUCUUGUGACUCGGGCAGUGCUAGGUAAGAAUCUUGUGAGUCAGGGAUUGG